rfam:Streptomyces sp. WAC00263 NODE_60_length_106458_cov_133.448090, whole genome shotgun sequence.
CUGUUAAUGGGAAAAAGUCACCAUCACGUGGUUCCUUAGAAGCUGUAGCAGUUGAUAAGACAACUGUAUCACCAUAACGUACUAAAACAGCACCGUUAGCUUGUUUGGCUAAUUGUCCUGUCUCAAUUGUUAAUGAUCUGCCAGCCCACUCAGUUUUAAAAACUUUCUUCUCUUGAGACAUUAUGAAUCUCCUCUCUAAAUUCUAUUAUCUAUAUCAUAUCAUUUAUUACAUUUAAUUUAUAUUAGUUCUUAUUUGUUAGACAAUAAAAAAAGGAAAGUACCAAUCGAAUGGUGCUUUCCUAAUUUAUU